AAAAGAUUAAAGCCAUGCAUGUAUAAGUACACGCCUUUACCAGGUGAAACCGCGAACGGCUCAUUACAACAGCUAUAAUCUACUCGGUCUUGAACAGUUACUCGGAUAACUGUGGUAAUUCUAGAGCUAAUACGUGCACCGAGGCUGCUCCUCGCGGGGCAGUGCAUUUGUUGGAGCAAAACCAGGCGGCUUCGGCCGUUUUUGCUGACUCAGAACAACUCAGCUGAUCGCAUGGGCUUGUCCCGGCGACGUACCGUCCGAGUGUCUGCCUUAUCAACUUUCGAUGGUAGUGUACGUGACUACCAUGGUUGUGACGGGUAACGGAGGAUAAGGGUUCGACUCCGGAGAAGGGGCCUGAGAAAUGGCCACUACGUCUAAGGAUGGCAGCAGGCGCGCAAAUUACCCACUCUCGGUUCGAGGAGGUAGUGACGAAAAAUAACAAGGCUGUUCUCUACGAGGCCAGCCAUUGGAAUGGGUACAACACAAACCCUUUAACGAGUAUCAAUGAGAGGGCAAGUCUGGUGCCAGCAGCCGCGGUAAUUCCAGCUCUCAAAAUGCAUAGAACCAUUGCUGCGGUUAAAAAGCUCGUAGUUGGAUCUGUGCCGGCGACGUGGUCCACCCUAACGGGCGGUACUGCGCUCGUCGGCUUUGGGCCGGUCUUCGUGCGGUGGCCUUCACUGGUCGCCGUCCGUGGCUGGCUGGUUUACUUUGAGCAAAUCAGAGUGCUCAGCACAGGCGUUUCGCCGGAAUGUUCGUGCAUGGAAUAAUAGAAAAGGAUUUCGGUCCUCUUUUAUUGGUUUUGUGGACUGAGAUAAUGGUUAACAGAGACGAACGGGGGCAUUCGUAUUGCUGCGUGAGAGGUGAAAUUCUUGGACCGCAGCAGGACGGACUACAGCGAAAGCAUUUGCCAAGCGCGUCUUCAUUAAUCAAGAACGAAAGUCAGAGGUUCGAAAGGCGAUCAUGUUCCCGCCCUAGUUCUACCGGUAAAGAUGCCAACUAGCGAUCCGACGGCGGCUUUCAGGCCCUGUUGGGGAGCUUCCCGGAAACGAAAGUCUUCCGGUUCCGGGGGAAGUAUGGUUGCAAAGCUGAAACUUAAAGGAAUUGACGGAAGGGCACCACCAGGAGUGGAGCCUGCGGCUUAAUUUGACUCAACACGGGAAAACUCACCCGGCCCGGACACCGUGAGGAUUGACAGAUUGAUAGCUUUUUCAUGAUUCGGUGGUUGGUGGUGCAUGGCCGUUCUUAGUUCGUGGAUCGAUUUGUCUGGUUUAUUCCGAUAACGAGCGAGACUCCAGCCUACUAACUAGUGCGGGCGUUGUCUCUGCGCUUGUCACUUCUUAGAGGGAUUGGCUGCGCCUAGCGGCACGAAACGGAGCAAUAACAGGUCUGUGAUGCCCUUAGAUGUCCGGGGCUGCACGCGCGCUACACUGGCAAAGGCAGCGUGCUUGUCCGCCUCCGAAAGGAGCCGGUAAACCCUUGAAAAUUUGCCGUGAUUGGGAUCGGAAAUUGCAAUUAUUUUCCGUGAACGAGGAAUUCCUAGUAAGUGCGAGUCAUCAGCUCGCGUUGAUUACGUCCCUGCCCUUUGUACACACCGCCCGUCGCUGCCUAGAACUGAGCCAUUUCGAGAAUAUUCGGGAUCGCUGGUUGCGGGCCUUUCGGGGCACGCCUCUGGCAAGAGAACGAACGUAAUCGCAGUGGCUUGAACCGGGCAAGUCGUAACAAGAUC
rnacentral:rRNA from 1 species